rnacentral:lncRNA from 1 species
CGCCGCUCGGCCGCGGCCUCGUCGCCGGGGCCAGGCUCGUGCAGGGGCACAGCCGCCCCGUGCCACUCAGCCUGGCCCCGGAGGGACCUAGGGCCUGGCCGAGGGGGGCUUUGCGCCGCUCCGCCGGUCCCUGGGGCUGAGCCACGGGUGUACGGCGGGCAUACCGCGCGCGGCUGAAAUGAGCGGGGAAACAGCUUUUGCGGGUUACUGCCAUGUUAUUCCUCCCCCCUUUUUUUAACUUGCCACAGAAAAUCGCUUCCUAAGUCCGCCCAUGUAAACAAAAUUCACUCUCAUCAUCAUUAGGAAACUUUUAGGUUUGUGCUAAUAUGUUAAGCCCGUUUACCACAACUUCCCGAAACCUGGAAACAUUUCCAAUCACGCAAAACGUAUUUACUUCAAAGAACUUCUACCGAGAAACUUCCACACUGAUUUAAAGCAGCAUUAUUUGUUAGCCUAACCUGGUUCUGAAAAUUCUGUCCUGGGCAAGAAUUAUUUACAAUGGAGAGCUUUGGGCCUAUAAUCAGGAAGUGACUUAGGUUUAGUUGUGUGAUUGUCACAUUUUUAAGCAUCUUGAAACAGGGACUGUCCUUGAGACUUCUGGAAGGCAUGUGGGAUGAAGGGUGUGCAGAGGAAUUAAAUGAGUGCCACCUCAGGCUCUGCAUCAAAUACCAGAAGCCCCAAGUCUUGGCACAUGCAGCAUUUUCAGGAGAAGAAUUGCAAACAGAACAGAAAUGUGCUUCUGCCACUGUAUGGUUCAGAGUAUUCCUGUAAGGUGAAGACGGAGAGGACAAGUUUCUGGUCUCUCAGGCUGCAGCAAGGAUGCAGUACACCCAGAAGGGCGUGA